UCCAGACUCCUACGGGAGGCAGCAGUGAGGAAUAUUGGUCAAUGGGCGGGAGCCUGAACCAGCCAAGUCGCGUGAGGGACGACGGUCCUAUGGAUUGUAAACCUCUUUUGUCGGGGAACAAAGGCGCCCACGGGUGGGCGGAUGAGUGUACCCGAAGAAAAAGCAUCGGCUAACUCCGUGCCAGCAGCCGCGGUAAUACGGAGGAUGCGAGCGUUAUCCGGAUUUAUUGGGUUUAAAGGGUGCGUAGGCGGACAGUCAAGUCAGCGGUAAAAAUGCGGUGCUCAACGCCGUACAGCCGUUGAAACUGGCGGUCUUGAGUGGGCGAGAAGUAUGCGGAAUGCGUGGUGUAGCGGUGAAAUGCAUAGAUAUCACGCAGAACUCCGAUUGCGAAGGCAGCAUACCGGCGCCCGACUGACGCUGAGGCACGAAAGCGUGGGUAUCGAACAGGAUUAGAUACCCCUGUA
rnacentral:rRNA from 1 species